CUUUGACGAUUCUAUCGCUCCCACCGUCGCUUGUCCCGUCCAGUAACCUCAUGAUGCCUCUGCCGAUCUACCGUCACCACCGUCACUGCCGCCCGUCGCCCUUCGACACCUCCCGCUGCCAGCCUGCCACCCAUCUUCGCCGCCCCGUCACCCCGCCUGUCCAGGCCGCUGCCCCGCCGCCCGCCCGUCCGUCCAUCCGUUUGAACAUAUUCAAAUCCGAGCGCUCGCGUCACUCCCAGCGCCAAAUCCGCCCGCCGAUUCGGCUACAAAUUGGAUCCCGCAUGCGCUCGCCAUGUUCACCGAGGGGUUAGAUCGCGACGCACUCAAGGAGCCACGACCGCAUGGACGCCCUCCGCACCGUGCGCGGCGCGGCCGGUCGCGGAGGCCUUGGCAUGCCGCCGCCGGAGAAGUUUCGGAGCGGGCACAUACCUCACACUGCCGUGCCGCUGUCGCGCGCCUCGCUGCGCAGCGACGACGGCAGCGCCGCUUCGGGAUCCGACAUGGACGAGUCGUCGGACACCGAGGAGGUCGAGGUCUGCAGCGGCAGGUACUCGGUGGACUCGUCGCCCCGCCGUGACGACAUUCCUCGCCCGAAGACAAGUGAAUACUGCAGUUCCUAAGACUCGUGUGGCGGCUGCAGAGAACCACAACAGCAAUGCACAUCUAAAUUCGAGCACCUACCAGCCAGAAAGCUAUUCUGCUCAUAUUCCUGCUCGAGAGGAUAGGAAAUCAACGCCUAAAGUGUUUUGUUACAUGUUACAAGUAUAGCAUUAAGCUCAACGUUCAUGACAAAUAAUAAAUCUGUUGUA